rnacentral:rRNA from 1 species
UACGUAGGGUGCAAGCGUUAAUCGGAAUUACUGGGCGUAAAGCGUGCGCAGGCGGUUUUGUAAGUCAGAUGUGAAAUCCCCGGGCUUAACCUGGGAACUGCGUUUGUGACUGCAUUGCUGGAGUGCGGCAGAGGGGGAUGGAAUUCCGCGUGUAGCAGUGAAAUGCGUAGAUAUGCGGAGGAACACCGAUGGCGAAGGCAAUCCCCUGGGCCUGCACUGACGCUCAUGCACGAAAGCGUGGGGAGCAAACAGG